ACUGGGUUUAAUACCGUAUACGCCCUUCGGGGGAAAGAAUUUCGGUGAGGGAUCGGCCCGCGUUAGAUUAGUUAGUUGGUGGGGUAAUGGCCUACCAAGACUACGAUCUAUAGCUGGUUUGAGAGGAUGAUCAGCAACACUGGGACUGAGACACGGCCCAGACUCCUACGGGAGGCAGCAGUGGGGAAUCUUAGACAAUGGGGGCAACCCUGAUCUAGCGAUGCCGCGUGAGUGAUGAAGGCCUUAGGGUCGUAAAGCUCUUUCGCCUGUGAUGAUAAUGACAGUAGCAGGUAAAGAAACCCCGGCUAACUCCGUGCCAGCAGCCGCGGUAAUACGGAGGGGGUUAGCGUUGUUCGGAAUUACUGGGCGUAAAGCGCACGUAGGCGGAUUAGUCAGUCAGAGGUGAAAUCCNAGGGCUCAACCCUGGAACUGCCUUUGAUACUGCUAGUCUUGAGUUCGAGAGAGGUAAGUGGAAUUCCGAGUGUAGAGGUGAAAUUCGUAGAUAUUC
rnacentral:rRNA from 1 species